rnacentral:rRNA from 1 species
UACGUAGGUGGCGAGCGUUGUCCGGAUUUCCUGGGCGUCAAGCGCGCGCCGGCGGGCUGGUCAGUCCGGGGUGAAAUCUCACGGCUCAACCGUGAGCGGUCCCCGGAUACUGCCAGUCUUGAGGUGUCUAGAGGAGAGCGGAAUUCCCGGUGUAGUGGUGGAAUGCGCAGAUAUCGGGUGGAACACCAGUGGCGAAGGCGGUGCGCUGGGCCGAAACUGACGCUGAGGAGCGAAAGCGUGGGGAGCAAACAGG